AUUGAACGCUGGCGGCAGGCUUAACACAUGCAAGUCGAACGAGUGGCGGACGGGUGAGUAAUGCUUGGGAAUCUAGCUUAUGGAGGGGGAUAACUCCGGGUAACUGUAGCUAAUACCGCGUACCAUCGGCUUAGCCCUAGUGGGAUUAGGUAGUGGGUAAGGUAAAGGCUCACCAAGCCGACGAUCUCUAGCUGGUCUGAGAGGAUGACCAGCCACACUUGAACUGAGACACGGACCAGACUCCUACGGGAGGCAGCAGUGGGGAAUAUUGCGCAAUGGGGGCAACCUGACGCAGCAAUGACGCGUGAAUGAAGAAGGCCUUCGGUUUGUAAAGUUCUUUCGGUAGCGAGGCGUUAACUACAGAAGAAGCACCGGCUAACUCCGUGCCAGCAGCCGCGGUAAUAC
rnacentral:rRNA from 1 species